rnacentral:lncRNA from 1 species
UAAAAUAAAAACACUUUUUACCUGGGCAAGUGGCUACUUGGAAUAAAGACAGCAUUUUUCAACAUUCCCUGAAGCUAGGUACAGCCAUGUGACUAAGUUCUGGCCACGCAAGAUAACCAGAGGUGGAGGAACAACUUCUAAAAUAUGUCUUUAAAGUGAAUAAUUGUGGAUUUAUGGAACACUGAAUAUUAUGAUUGAUUACAAUAUUUGUACUAUAAUGAAUCGGAUGAUUGGAUCUAUCAUGUUGCUUCUAGGAUAUCUGCUCUGCAUUGUGUUCUGUUUGCCAGUGAAUACUAAUACAGAGUCUUUUUGACUCUUAGACACACUGGGAAAAAUAAUUAAAACAAAAGCUGUUUUCUGUGUUUUGUAAAAACAACUCUUCUAAUUCUCAAAUUGCAAUACCUAAAAUAUAAAUAAAUUCAGAGAUUAAUUUCCAAACCAGAGGAAAGCAUAUAGAACAUAAAAGUUUUGAAAAUUCUUCUCAUAUUUCUUAUUUAUUUUUAAAAUGAAGGGAAAUUACAUGUACAAUUUGACUCAAGAGGGAAUUCACACAUGAAACCCUUCGAGAAUAUAUCCCAAUACACAUGGUGAAGACAAACACAGAGACUAGGAAGACAGAUUUAGGAAACAAUAUUAAUUAAUUAAUAUGGAGAGAAGAGCAAUGUCCCAGGUAGCAGAACAGAAUAAGGGAUGUCAUCUUAAAGAAAUAAAACAGAAAACAGGGAGUCAACAGUAUUAGUUUAAUCAAACAACUUCACAGAAACCAGUGUUUAAAGAUAAUAUAGGGUUUGCAUUUGGGUUCAUAUGAAACCAAUUUUGUCAAAUCAACUUAAAGUCCAUCCCUGAAGGAGAGAAAAAUGCUAGAUAGAAAUUGUCCACCCAGUGGACAAACUUUUCAUAUUGCACAAAUUCUGUCAUGAUUGAACGCAAUUCAGUGUCAGCAUUUAGGGCAGAAAAAAGUCAUUUUGCCCAUAAGACAGAUUCCAUUGUUUUCAAAGAAAUAGCCAAAUAUGUCCAGAAACCAUUGCUUGAUUGUAUUAAAAUUAAAUAGACACUGUGUCUGUAAGAAUUCUGAAAUAAGGCUGUCAAGAAUCGAUGGCAAGUAAAGAGCUAUGCCAAAGUGAGCUUUAGGGUGAGGAUCACAGCCCAGUAGUACAUAAGCAUAUGACUCUAAAUGAUUUAUUUUUUAACUGUAAGUCUCUGGCCAGCAAGAGUUGGAUUCUCAAACUGGCAGAUCAUAAUCUAGCCAUCAGAAUAGCUGUAGUUGAUUCAAAGAAAGAGAUGAAGUACUGAGAAGAUGGGAGUAGCAGUUGUACACCACUGCUACAGUUAUGCAACAAAGGCAGUCUACCAUUAAUAUCUGUCUUGGAGCCUGAAACUCUCUCUCUCUCUCUCUCUCUCUCUCUCUCUCACACACACACAUACACACACACACACACACACACACAAUCUUAAGUGUAUAUAAAUUCCUCCUUUAAAAUGUAUUACCUGUAUGACUCAACAAGGUGCUUAUCUUCUCAGAACAUAUCUCACAUAUUUGAAAAGAGGAUUAAAUGAUAAAGAACAAGUGAACAGCUUAGCACGCUGUCCAGAUACAAGCUAUUAUAUAAUAUUUUGCAUAUUUCGGUGGUCAAGAAGUUGUAGUCUGUGUUCAGUGUUGAGCUGCCAUAUUAACUUAUCCUAUUUCUCUAUCUAUAUAUUCAAUUUCACUCUUAUAGUGAUUUCCAAUCUCAAUUACAAUAAACUCAGUUGACUAAACAAUCACAUAUUAUCAUGAUCAACAAAAAUGUCAUAGAUGUUACAGCUAAAGGGUAAUAUUUAUAACCAUUUACUAUAACUGUUAUACUGUACAAUUAGGAAAAUACACCAAAUGGGAAAAUGAGUACUGUCAAUGAACGACUCUUUUCCGCUGGGCUUACAUACAUAUGAAAACAAUUACACAUGAUUGGUAUGUAUUCAAUGAUGUAUUCAUUGCUCUCUCAUGAAGAUUAAAUCCUAUGUGCAUCUUAAUAUGUUAAGCCUUAACAAUAUAAGAAGCCACGAAUAACAGAAAAAUAAAAUGAAUGAUUAGAAUUUUUGCUUGUUAGAAUUCUGCAUUUAUAGUCCAAAAUUGAUUUGCUUGGAUAUUGAACAAUGAGUUUCUGUCAAAGCUUCCAUUAACGGUUAGCUUUAGUAUAUUCAUUAAAAGUAUAUAUAUAUAUAUGUAUGAAGUCUACCAUCUUAAGUAUUUUAUGUGAUUACCUUACCAUAUUGUAAUAAGUGUGAAGACAAAUGUGUAUCUUUGAUUAGUAUCAAAUAACUCUCUUGCAUAUUAAUACCCUCAUGAAGUCACAUAGAAUGUUGAACAAUAAUUCAAGCUAGUGGAUUGUGGUUAUUACUGUAAAUGUACCCAAACCAGCAGGAGUUGACAAUGAAACUAUUGUCUCCAUGCUAAUAAUGUCUGAUCUCAAGCAUUCUGAGGGAAAUUUGAAAACAAGAUUGCUAUGCUAUCUCUAUAAAUAUAAGAAAACUCAUGCUAAAAUAAAUUGUGCAAUUAAUUAUGUUGCAUUACCAGGAUGAAUUUCAGGUAAAAACACACAGCAUCUGUGAUUAAAUACUAGUUAUUAAAGCUUUUGAAAUAUCAUCCAAUUGCUUUAGUUACCAUAGUGCACCAUGCUGUGUUUGCAAAAUUAUAAUUUUAUAUUAAAUAGAUUAAAUGUAAGGAAUUAGUUGGAGUUGUUUAAUUCCUCUUUUUGAUUAGGUUAUCUUUCCUGCAUCAGAUUGAUUCUUUACUUUCUCGUCAGUUAUGCAGUAUGAUUAUAAUGGAUUGAAUUAUGUCUCCCCAAAAUUCAUAUGCUGUAGUCCAACCCACUCAUACCUCAGAAUAUGACCUUAUUUGGAAAUAGGGAUUUUGCAGAUGUAAUAAAUUAAAAUGAAGUCACAAUGGGGUAGGGUGAGGCCCUACUGUAGUAUGACUGGUGUCUUUAUAAAAGAAACACCAUAUGAAGAGACAGAUGUGCAUGCAAAGAAAAUGCCAUGUGACAACGAAGGCAGAGAAUGGGGUGACACUGCAAAAGGAACAUCAAAGAUUGCCAGCAAACCACCAGAAGCUGGGUGAACCAUGGAACAGAUUCUUCCUCACAGCCCCUCAGAAGAUAUCAAUCCUGCUGAUAUCUUUUUCUCGAACUUCUAGCCUUCAGAAUUGUGAGACAAUAAACUUCUAUGGUUUAAGCUACCUGAUGCAGUCAUGCCAGAGAGAAAUGAUCAUAAAUUUGUUUUGAUUAGGAUGAUUUUCCCAUGUCUAUUGGAUGAAUAACCCCAUUGGAAAGAGUAGAAAACUAGAUUUGAGAACUAAAAUGCUGAAAGACUGACUCAAAGGUACAACUCAGAACCAACAACCUUGACUUAAAAUUGCUGACCCAAUUCUUAGAAAACCCUUUGGUGGCAUGCAAAGUACGUUCCUUUGAACUGAUAAAUUAUGACCAUUUGGAGAUGGAACAGUGCCUGUAUUAGUUUGUUUUCACGCUGCUGAUAAAGACAUACCCAAAACUGGGAAUAAAAAGAGAUUUAAUUGGACUUACAGUACUACAUGGCUGGGGAGGCCUCAGAAUCAUGGUGGGAGGUGAAAGGCACUUCUUACGUGGUGGCAGCAAGUGAAAAAUGAGGAGGAAGCAAAAGCAGAAACCCGUGAUAAACCCAUCAGAUCUCAUGAAAUUUAUUCACUAUCAUGAGAAUAUCAUGUAAAAGAGUUUAUUAACUCAUGAUCACAGGGUUCCCAACAGGCCGCCUGCAGACCGAGGAGCAAGGAGAG